CUCAGACAACAUUCUCAUCUAACCUCAGACUAGCUACCAAACUCAAGCAAAACUACUAUAGUUUUAUGCCCCCAGGAGCUUGCCUAACAUGGUCAUGCUACCUUCCAGACAACAGGUUGCAGAUGCUCCCAUGACUUCACACCGACUUCUCUGGGCAGAUGACCUCAUUGUUGUAUCCUGGACCCUUGCACCUCCAGAGCUCUGUUCCACUAAGGAAAGAUAGAAACAGGCUGGGGGUAUGAAUUGACCUAUCAAUGCCCAUGCUCAGUGGACAAGCAGCUACAGAAGCCAGAACUCCUACCUUCUGCUCCCAUAAACAACCUUGAUCCAUAAGAGAAGUGAUAGAAUGAAGUUAAGAGGACGCUGCACUCCAGCUCCAUCAGCACCCAGAGAGAGAGA